rnacentral:rRNA from 1 species
UACGUAGGUGGCAAGCGUUUAUCCGGAAUUAUUGGGCGUAAAGCGCUCGCAGGCGGUUUCUUAAGUCUGAUGUGAAAGCCCACGGCUCAACCGUGGAGGGUCAUUGGAAACUGGGAGACUUGAGUGCAGAAGAGGAGAGUGGAAUUCCACGUGUAGCGGUGAAAUGCGUAGAGAUGUGGAGGAACACCAGUGGCGAAGGCGACUCUCUGGUCUGUAACGUGACGCUG